AGAAUUAUGUUAUGUUAUUAUAUAUAUUAUCAAUAUUGUUGUAUUAACUAUGUAAUAGAUUUUUGAAAUAUUUAUUUUAUUAAGUUGUGAAUGUAUGAUUAUGUGUGACAUAUCUAUUAAAUUUAGUUUCAUAUUAUUAAUUUAUUUAAUAAAUGAUUUGACCGUAGAUUUAACCGGUUGAACCAAUUAAACCUUAAACUGCAAAUUUCACCGGUUCGAUCUCCGAUCCGAUUUUUAAAACAUUGUCUUAAACACUCCUUUUAAAAUUAAUGUAAAUUGUUAAAUAAUCAAGGUUAUUUUGGACUAAACACUCUUACCUUAAUUA
rnacentral:lncRNA from 1 species